GGGGGAAAAAUUAAUAAAAAAAAAAAUAAUAAAAAAAUUUUUAUUUGUAUAUACAUAUAUUUUAAUGGGGGUUAAAGUAUAUUUAUAGAAAAAAUAAAAAAAUUUAUAGGGUAAUAGUAUUGUAAAAGAAUUUUGAAAUAAUAGAUAAUUAAUUUAUUUUUAAGUAAAUUUGAUUUAUUGUAUCUUGUGUAUCAGAGUUUAUUAAUAAUAUUUUCUAGGGGGAAAUUUCUUGAAUUUAAAGGGGUUAAUUAAUUAAUAAAGUUAAUGUGGUAUAAUUAUUUUUAAUAAUUAAUUAGAAAUGAAAUGUUAAUCGUUUUUAAAAAUAUCUAGUUUUUUUAGAAAAAAAUUUAAUUUUAAAUAUUAAAUUUAAAUUUUUUAUUAUAUAAAAUUUUAUUUGUUAAUAUUAAAUAUUUUAAGGGAUAAGCUUUAAAAUAAAUUUUUAUAAUAUUUAUUUUAUUUAUAGUUAAAAUUUUAAGAUUUAAAUUGUAAAAUAAAUUAUAAUUUUUUAUAAAUAAUUUAAUUAAAUUUAAAAUUUUAAAAAAAAUUUAAAUUUUUAUAAAAAAAUAUAUUUUAAUAAGAUAAAAUUAGAUAUAAUGAUAAAAUUAGUAUAUAAAAUUUAUUUAAAUAAAAAUUUAUUUAAAAUUAAUUAAAGGAAUUCGGCAAAAAUAUAUUCACUUGUUUAUCAAAAACAUGUCUUUAUGUAAAUAAUUUUAAGUCUAAUCUGCCCACUGAUAAAUUAUUAAAGGGCUGCAGUAUUUUGACUGUACAAAGGUAGCAUAAUCAUUAGCCUUUUAAUUGGAGGCUUGUAUGAAAGAUUGGAUGAAAUAUAAACUGUCUCUAAUUAAAUUAUAAAAUUUAAUUUUUUAGUUAAAAAGCUAAAAUAUAUUUAAAAGACGAGAAGACCCUAUAGAGUUUUAUAUUUUAUUUUAUUAUUAUUUAUAUUUAAAUUUUUGAAUUAAAAUAAAUAAAAAUAUUUUAUUGGGGGGAUAAAAAAAUUAAAUUAACUUUUUUACUAUUUUAACAUUAAUUUAUGAUUAUAUGAUCCAUUUAUAAUGAUUAAAAGAAAAAAUUACCUUAGGGAUAACAGCGUAAUUUUUUCUUUUAGUUCAAAUAGGAGAAAAAGUUUGCGACCUCGAUGUUGGAUUAAGAUAAAAUUUAAAUGCAAAAGUUUAAAAUUUUGAUCUGUUCGAUCAUUAAAAUCUUACAUGAUCUGAGUUCAAACCGGUGUAAGCCAGGUUGGUUUCUAUCUUUAAAUAAUAAUAAUAUUUUAGUACGAAAGGAUUAAAUAUUAAAAAUAAUUUUAUUUUUAUGAAUAUUUAUAAUUAUAAUUAUA
rnacentral:rRNA from 1 species